rnacentral:rRNA from 1 species
UACAGAGGUCCCAAGCGUUGUUCGGAUUCACUGGGCGUAAAGGGUGCGUAGGUGGUGAGGUAAGUCGGAUGUGAAAGCUCGGAGCUCAACUCCGAAAUGGCAUUGGAAACUACCUUGCUCGAGGGUUGGAGGGGGGACUGGAAUACUUGGUGUAGCAGUGAAAUGCGUAGAUAUCAAGUGGAACACCAGUGGCGAAGGCGAGUCCCUGGACAACUCCUGACACUGAGGCACGAAAGCUAGGGAGCAACAGG